rnacentral:rRNA from 1 species
CAGUAGCCGCGGUAACACGAAGGGUGCAAGCGUUAAUCGGAAUUACUGGGCGUAAAGCGUACGUAGGCGGUGAGUUAAGUCUGCUGUGAAAUCCCCGGGCUCAACCUGGGAAUGGUAGUGGAUACUGGCUCGCUAGAGUGUGUCAGAGGAUGGUGGAAUUCCCGGUGUAGCGGUGAAAUGCGUAGAGAUCGGGAGGAACAUCAGUGGCGAAGGCGGCCAUCUGGGACAACACUGACGCUGAGGCACGAAAGCGUGGGGAGCAAACAGGAUUAGAUACCCGCGUAGUCCCUGUCUCUUAUAA